GGAUGAAAUAUAAAUGCGUUUAGCUUAGUUCUCACAUCCUAGUUCAACGAUGAAGUUGUGGGGCUAAGUUAGAUAGGUGAUUAGAGGAUCAAGAGACCAUGAUCAUAAUAUCAACCCCGUGAAUUAACAACCAAGAUAUGAUUGUUCGUAGUGCUUUAACCCUGGAUUUCCAUCCAUUGAUUGACUGAAGUCUUUUAUUUUAUACACUGUUUACUUCACUUUAGCUUACAAAUAUUCAAAACUCUUUUGGCUUCAUUGCAUUAAGUUAAUCUUGAUUGGAAACUGGAAUUGAAAAGUUGUUAAAACGAGUCUCUGAGGGAU
rnacentral:lncRNA from 1 species